rnacentral:rRNA from 1 species
UCCAGACUCCUACGGGAGGCAGCAGUGGGGAAUAUUGGGCAAUGGGCGCAAGCCUGACCCAGCAACGCCGCGUGAAGGAAGAAGGCUUUCGGGUUGUAAACUUCUUUUCUCAGGGACGGAGCAAGUGACGGUACCUGAGGAAUAAGCCACGGCUAACUACGUGCCAGCAGCCGCGGUAAUACGUAGGUGGCAAGCGUUAUCCGGAUUUACUGGGUGUAAAGGGCGUGUAGGCGGGAGCGCAAGUCAGAUGUGAAAACUCAGGGCUCAACCCUGAGCCUGCAUUUGAAACUGUGUUUCUUGAGUGCUGGAGAGGCAAUCGGAAUUCCGUGUGUAGCGGUGAAAUGCGUAGAUAUAAGGAAGAACACCAGUGGCGAAGGCGGAUUACUGGACGAUAACUGACGGUGAGGCGCGAAAGCGUGGGGAGCAAACAGGAUUAGAUACCCGCGUAUAC